AAAUCAGAGCAGCUUUCCAGUGUGAAAUUCCUCUAUCAGAUAUGAAAACACUGCUGGAAAUCCAGAAACUCUACCUGGAGAUCCAGAAACUUGAGAAGGAGCUAAAAACGAGCACCUAAAGCUGGCUGUUGGCACUGGGGUUGUAAGAACCAUCCUCUGUGGGGUGGGUUGUGAUGCUGACUGAGGAUUUUUUAUGACUUUGUAAUUCAUGCUAAUGCUGAAGGACAAAAUUGAAGGAUUGGUCACAUGAGGAGCCAAUGACUUGUGAGUGAAUUUUCAUUUUGUAGAUCACUUUAUGCCUUUUGCAGCUUCACAUUUAGAUCUGUUUGCUACACUGGCAGCUGAGUGGAAAGUGAAUUUUGGCGGCACAAACAGGCAUGAACGUGGUGAGAGCCCCUCACCUCCAGCUGCUGCACCUCUCCAGUCUAUCCCAGUGCUGCCCAGUUCACCCACGCUGCACUCAUUAGUGGGAACAUCCCCUUCACUGCCUUGUUGCUUUUCUCAUGGCCAAGAAAACCUCAAAGCCUCUGUCCUAGCAAAGCAAAAAUGCCAGGUUUCCUUCCCAAGCAGGCUGGAUGGAUCCAUGGCAGGGCCACAUCUCUGUGUGUGGCCCAAGGACAAAUCACUGUACAGAAAAUAAUGGCUGGGGUUUAAUUAUUUUGUUUUUUUCUGCAACAUUCAGUGACGGGGAAGCGCUGUGCAGGCCACAACCAGAGUUUAUAAUAAACCUGCAAUUGUAAUAACAGCUCUGUGUGGGUUUUAAUGAUCUCUCCUAUCUCUAGUAAAGGGAAUUAUUUAUAUAAUAUGGAUGAAGCACAGUCAUAUAUAAAGAGUAUGAAGUACAUAUCAUGCAUGAAGUGUAUCUAACAAAUAGGUUUUUUGUAGUGUUUGUAAAUAAGCAGCUCAGUUAGGUGCUGUUCCAUGAGUGCAGGGAUGCUGGGGGGGGUUUCACAGCAGCCUGACCCCCCACCCCACCUGCCCUGGGUAUAAAUGUGCUUCAGACACCACCCAGAGAGCUUUGAGCUGGAAACCACCGCUCUAACAACAAAGGGAUUCAACGUUCUGAUGUCCAUGCUUUGCUUUGGAUUCAGCAUUCUGGUUUAUAUUGACGCCGUGGUGCAUUCCCAUCACGACACCAAUCGCUGUGUGACUCCUCCCGACCCCUUCACGGCCUCGGAGCAGGGCUGGGGGUGGUGUCAGCGACACAGGCGGUGUCUGCCUGUCCCCAGCUUCCCCCUGCAGCUUCCCCUUGCCCGCAGGCUCUGGGCGCAGCAUCUCUGCCGGCAGGCAGCCCCAGCCCCAGCCCCAGCAUGGCCCGGCCGCUGCUGGCAGGGCUGCUCCUGCUGCUGCAGCCCGCAGGAACCCGGGAGGCUCAGUGUCCCGUCCCCCACAUUGCACACGGGCAGCUGAGCUCUGCAGAGAACUUCACGCACGGCAGCACAGCCAGGCUGGAGUGUGAGCCUGGCUUUGUGCCCUCGGGCACCGGCACCACGGUGAGGUGCACCUCCCACGGCAGGUGGUACCCACGGGUGCCCUCCUGUGUGCCAGGUGAGCCCAAUCCCCUCCUGUGUGCCAGGUGAGCCCAAUCCCCUCCUGUGUGCCAGGUGAGCCCAAUCCCCUCCUGUGUGCCAGGUGAGCCCAAUCCCCUCCUGUGUGCCAGGUGAGCCCAAUCCCCUCCUGUGUGCCAGGUGAGCCCAAUCCCCUCCUGUGUGCCAGGUGAGCCCAAUCCCCUCCUGUGUGCCAGGUGAGCCCAAUCCCCUCCUGUGUGCCAGGUGAGCCCAAUCCCCUCCUGUGUGCCAGGUGAGCCCAAUCCCCUCCUGUGUGCCAGGUGAGCCCAAUCCCCUCCUGUGUGCCAGGUGAGCCCAAUCCCCUCCUGUGUGCCAGGUGAGCCCAAUCCCCUCCUGUGUGCCAGGUGAGCCCAAUCCCCUCCUGUGUGCCAGGUGAGCCCAAUCCCCUCCUGUGUGCCAGGUGAGCCCAAUCCCCUCCUGUGUGCCAGGUGAGCCCAAUCCCCUCCUGUGUGCCAGGUGAGCCCAAUCCCCUCCUGUGUGCCAGGUGAGCCCAAUCCCCUCCUGUGUGCCAGGUGAGCCCAAUCCCCUCCUGUGUGCCAGGUGAGCCCAAUCCCCUCCUGUGUGCCAGGUGAGCCCAAUCCCCUCCUGUGUGCCAGGUGAGCCCAAUCCCCUCCUGUGUGCCAGGUGAGCCCAAUCCCCUCCUGUGUGCCAGGUGAGCCCAAUCCCCUCCUGUGUGCCAGGUGAGCCCAAUCCCCUCCUGUGUGCCAGGUGAGCCCAAUCCCCUCCUGUGUGCCAGGUGAGCCCAAUCCCCUCCUGUGUGCCAGGUGAGCCCAAUCCCCUCCUGUGUGCCAGGUGAGCCCAAUCCCCUCCUGUGUGCCAGGUGAGCCCAAUCCCCUCCUGUGUGCCAGGUGAGCCCAAUCCCCUCCUGUGUGCCAGGUGAGCCCAAUCCCCUCCUGUGUGCCAGGUGAGCCCAAUCCCCUCCUGUGUGCCAGGUGAGCCCAAUCCCCUCCUGUGUGCCAGGUGAGCCCAAUCCCCUCCUGUGUGCCAGGUGAGCCCAAUCCCCUCCUGUGUGCCAGGUGAGAAUCCCCUCCUGGCCUCUGCCAGGUGAGCCCAAUCUCCUCCUGUGUGCCAGGUGAGCCCAAUGCCCUCCUGUGUGCCAGGUGAGCUCAAUCCCCUCCUGUGUGCCAGGUGAGCUCAAUGCCCUCCUGUGUGCCAGGUGAGCCCAAUCCCCUCCUGUGUGCCAGGUGAGCCCAAUCCCCUCCUGUGUGCCAGGUGAGCCCAAUCUCCUCCUGGCCUCUGCCAGGUGCAAUCCUGCUCCCAUUUCCCCAAAAUCUCUUGGAGGGAACAUCCACUGGCUGGCAGGAUUCCCUCUGGGAUCACCCAGGGCAGUGUGGCAGGGCUGUCCCUUCCUGCAGGGGACACCCACGAGGUGCCAAAGCACACGAGAAAUAAGAUUCUCACUCAGUUCACAUCCUUUGGUGAAUUUUCCCCAAAAUGAAAACUCCCUGGUUUUUCCCUUGCCCUUCACCCCACAGCCACGCUCAGGGCUGCUGCUGUCCCUCACUUAUUUUUGGAGUUUUCCACCAAGGAAAAGCUCUCAGUGCUGAGGGUCUGUGAUGUCCCCUGCUCUGUCCCCAGGGCAAUGCUGAGUGUCUCUCUGUCCCCUGCUCUGUCCCCAGGGCAGUGUCCCCUGCUCUGUGUCCCCACCUCUGUCCCUAUCUCUGUGUCCCCUGUUCUGUGUCCCCAGCUCUGUCCCCUGCUCUGUCCCCAGGGCAGUGUCCCCUGCUCUGUGUCCCCACCUCUGUCCCUAUCUCUGUGUCCCCUUCUCUGUCCUCUGCUGUGUCCCCAGGGCAGUGUCCCCUGCUCUGUGUCCCCUGCUCUGUGUCCCCAGCUCUGUCCCCUGCUCUGUCCCCAGGGCAGUGUCCCCACCCUCCCCCUGUGGAGUUCGCCGACCCCCAGCCCCGUCGCGAGUUCCUGGUCGGGACCACCCUGAGCUACUCCUGCAGACCCGGCUUCUCCUCCAUCCCCGGCGUGUCCCCAACAAUCACCUGCCUGCAGAACUUCUCCUGGUCCUCGGCGCCCAGGCUGUGCCAGAGUGAGUUCAUCCCUUCUUUUGCUGCGCCGUCCCCUGGACGUCGCCGCUCCCAGCCGGGCCAGCAGCGCUCUCUGCAGCAGCUCUGCCUCCCCCUGGCAAUAAUUCCGCUGCUCGAAGGGUGGCGUGGCUGCAGAGCAAAAGCUGCAGCUCCCCCUGGUUACUGAGCGGCUCCAGCGAGGAUUCAGGGGUGCGGGCAGGCGUGUGCCGUCCCCCCAGCACGCUUUCCAGCUGAUCGCAGGGCUCUCGCC
rnacentral:lncRNA from 1 species